AUGGUAGGANAGAGGCCUACCAUGGUGGUAACGGGUAACGGGGUGUUAGGGCACGACACCGGAGAGGGAGCCUGAGAAACGGCUACCACAUCCAAGGAAGGCAGCAGGCGCGCAAAUUACCCAAUCCCGACACGGGGAGGUAGUGACAAUAAAUAACAAUACGGGGUUCUUUGAAUCUUGUAAUUGGAAUGAGUACAAUUUAAAUCUCUUAACGAGGAACAAUUGGAGGGCAAGUCUGGUGCCAGCAGCCGCGGUAAUUCCAGCUCCAAUAGCGUAUAUUAAAGUUGUUGCAGUUAAAAAGCUUGUAGUUGAAUUUCGGGAUCAAUACGUCGGUCGUGCUUUNGGGUACGUACCGGCGUCAUUGGUUUCUCCUUUCUGACGAACCAUGAUGUCAUUAAUUUGGUGUUAUGGGGAGUUAGGACUGUUACUUUGAAAAAAUUAGAGUGUUUAAAGCAGGCAUUAGCUUGAAUACAUUAGCAUGGAAUAAUGAGAUAGGACGUUCGAUCCUAUUUUGUUGGUUUCUAGGAUCAACGUAAUGAUUAAUAGGGAUAGUUGGGGGCAUUAGUAUUCAAUUGUCAGAGGUGAAAUUCUUGGAUUUAUUGAAGACUAACUACUGCGAAAGCAUUUGCCAAGGAUGUUUUCAUUAAUCAAGAACGAAAGUUAGGGGAUCGAAGACGAUCAGAUACCGUCGUAGUCUUAACCAUAAACUAUGCCGACUAGGGAUCGGAUGAUGUUAAUUUUUUAAUGACUCAUUCGGCGCCUUACGGGAAACCAAAGUGUUUGGG
rnacentral:rRNA from 1 species